GCCUCCCUAGUAUAUCAAAUACAAUUGACUUCCAAUCUUUAAAAUCUGGUUUAAACCCAGAGAGAGGCA
rnacentral:tRNA from 1 species